rnacentral:rRNA from 1 species
AGAUACCCUGGUAGUACACGCCCUAAAGCGGUGGGUACUAGGUGUAGGGCUCGCAAGGGUUCUGUGCCGAAGCGAAAGCAUUAAGUACCCCGCCUGGGGAGUACGACCGCAAGGUUGAAACUCAAAGGAAUUGACGGGGGCCCGCACAAGCGGUGGAGCAUGUGGUUUAAUUCGACGCAACGCGAAGAACCUUACCUGGGCUUGACAUGUUAGUGGUAAGAACCCGAAAGGGCGAUGACCUGUAGCAAUACAGGAGCUAACACAGGUGCUGCAUGGCUGUCGUCAGCUCGUGCCGUGAGGUGUUGGGUUAAGUCCCGCAACGAGCGCAACCCUUAUCCUCUGUUACCCCGCAAGGGGGUCUCUGAGGAAACUGCCGGCGAUGAGCUGGAGGAAGGCGGGGAUGACGUCAAGUCAUCAUGGCCCUUAUGUCCAGGGCUACACACGUGCUACAAUGGCUGCUACAGAGGGGCGCAAGACCGCGAGGUGGAGGCAAUCCCUAAAAGCAGUCGUAGUUGGGAUCGGAGUCUGCAACUCGACUCCGUGAACGUGGAAUCGCUAGUAAUCGUGGAUCAGCACGCCACGGUGAAUACGUUCCCGGGCCUUGUACACACCGCCCGUCACACCACGAAAGCCUGUUGUACCCGAAGCAGGUGCGCUAACUCGCAAGAGAAGGCGAGCCC